AACGGGGUGCCCACUAAGGGCUGAGAGAUUUCUCGACAAGAAAUAAACCCGUCGAACCUGAACCGGUUAAUACCGGCGGAGGGAAUUGAAGA
rnacentral:ncRNA from 1 species